UGGGGAAUUUUGGACAAUGGGCAAAAGCCUGAUCCAGCAAUGCCGCGUGUGUGAAGAAGGCCUUCGGGUUGUAAAGCACUUUUGUCCGGAAAGAAAUCCUUGGCUCUAAUACAGUCGGGGGAUGACGGUACCGGAAGAAUAAGCACCGGCUAACUACGUGCCAGCAGCCGCGGUAAUACGUAGGGUGCAAGCGUUAGUCGGAAUUACUGGGCGUAAAGCGUGCGCAGGCGGUUUGCUAAGACCGAUGUGAAAUCCCCGGGCUCAACCUGGGAACUGCAUUGGUGACUGGCAGGCUAGAGUAUGGCAGAGGGGGGUAGAAUUCCACGUGUAGCAGUGAAAUGCGUAGAGAUGUGGAGGAAUACCGAUGGCGAAGGCAGCCCCCUGGGCCAAUACUGACGCUCAUGCACGAAAGCGUGGGGAGCAAACAGGAUUAGAUACCCUGGUAGUCCACGCCCUAAACGAUGUCAACUAGUUGUUGGGGAUUCAUUUCCUUAGUAACGUAGCUAACGCGUGAAGUUGACCGCCUGGGGAGUACGGUCGCAAGAUUAAAACUCAAAGGAAUUGACGGGGUCAUAGCUGUUUCCU
rnacentral:rRNA from 1 species